CCUACGGGAGGCAGCAGUGAGGAAUAUUGGUCAAUGGGCGCGAGCCUGAACCAGCCAAGUCGCGUGAAGGAUGACUGCCCUACGGGUUGUAAACUUCUUUUAUAAAGGAAUAAAGUGAGGCACGUGUGGCUUUUUGUAUGUACUUUAUGAAUAAGGAUCGGCUAACUCCGUGCCAGCAGCCGCGGUAAUACGGAGGAUCCGAGCGUUUUCCGGAUUUAUUGGGUUUAAAGGGAGCGUAGAUGGGUUGUUAAGUUAGUUGUGAAAGUUUGCGGCUCAACCGUAAAAUUUCAGUUGAUACUGGCAGCCUUGAGUAGAGUUGAGGUAGGCGGAAUUCGUGGUGUAGCGGUGAAAUGCUUAGAUAUCACGAAGAACUCCGAUUGCGAAGGCAGCCUACUAAACUGCAACUGACAUUGAUGCUCGAAAGUGUGGGUAUCAAACAGGAUUAGAUACCCGUGUAGUC
rnacentral:rRNA from 1 species